UACGGGAGGCAGCAGUGGGGAAUAUUGGACAAAUGGGCGAAAGCCUGAUCCAGCAAUGCCGCGUGAGUGAUGAAGGCCUUAGGGUUGUAAAGCUCUUUUACCCGAGAUGAUAAUGACAGUACCGGGAGAAUAAGCUCCGGCUAACUCCGUGCCAGCAGCCGCGGUAAAA
rnacentral:rRNA from 1 species